rnacentral:rRNA from 1 species
CCUACGGGUAGCUGCAGUGAGGAAUAUUGGUCAAUGGACGAGAGUCUGAACCAGCCAAGUAGCGUGAAGGAUGGCUGCCCUAUGGGUUGUAAACUUCUUUUAUAUGGGAAUAAAAUGUUCCACGUGUGGGAUUUUUUAUGUACCAUAUGAAUAAGGAUCGGCUAACUCCGUUCCAGCCGCCGCGGUAAUACGGAGGAUCCGAGCGUUAUCCGGCUUUAUUGGGUUUAAAGGGAGCGUAGGUGGAUUGUUAAGUCAGUUGUGAAAGUUUGCGGCUCAACCGUAAAAUUGCAGUUGAAACUGGCAGUCUUGAGUACAGUAGAGGUGGGCGGAAUUCGUGGUGUAGCGGUGAAAUGCUUAGAUAUCACGAAGAACUCCGAUUGCGAAGGCAGUUCACUGGACUGCAACUGACACUGAGGCUCGAAAGUGUGGGUAUCAAACAGGAUUAGAUACCCGGGUAGUC